GUUUUAAUAGUUUAACUAGAAUAUAAUUUUGAAGCGGUUAGGGUGAUAUAAUUCUUAAGACG
rnacentral:tRNA from 1 species